rnacentral:rRNA from 1 species
AUGGAGGAUUCCCUCGUGCCGCCGGUGCCUCCUGCCCCAACCACCCUUUUCCUCACUCGCCGGCGAUCACAUCUCGACAGCGCCUCCUACCGCACGCUCUCCCGGCUCUUCUCCCACUGCCUCCACCACCGCCCCUCGCAGCUCGCUGCCCCGGCGCCCCUGGAAGUCGAGCCCGCCGCUGCGAACCCUAUCUGCGACGAGUCACCACAGGGGUGCUCGGUACCGCCUGAAGACGCCGAGUCUGAACGGGGAAAGGACUUAGGAGAAGAGGAGACUGCGGUAAGGACUUCUGUCAUCGAGAACCCCUCACCCGCGGCAGUCGAUGCAGCCACCGGUAACCCUAUUGCAGACCCGGCUGUGGCACCACAGAGAUACAUGGAGCAUCAAGUGGCCGGAGUUCAGCGGGCGGAGGGCGUAACAGAUAUGGUUGUUGGGGGGAACCUCUGCCGUGAGACUGUUGCGUUAGUGGAGGAGUUGGGGGCAGAGGAUGUUUUGAGGUCGAUGAAGGAUUGUUUGGAGGGGGAGGUUGACGAAUUGGCAGAGCCAGAUGUAAUGGUGGUCAAUGAUGAUGAACAUCUGCUGCUUGAUACGAUGAUGACCAACUUCUCAGGGUUGAUUGCUGAUGCCAGUGGCGGCAAAGCAUCAAUGCUGAACUAUGGGGUUUCUGGAGGUGAACCACACAAUGAUGGCAACAUAGCUGAGGGGGUGAAAGAAUUGGGAGCUGGAACUGAAGAAGACAGACCUGUGGGUGAUUCAGAUCAGCACUCAGUUGAUGGUGGCGUGGUUGAGGAAGGAGAGAUUGAGGGUGACAUGCAGGCUCUGGAUGUAGAUGAAUCUGAUGAUUCGGAGAUCGAAGAUGCAGAUGAUGAGGAAUUGGGAGAGGAUUUUGCUAACAGAGUGUUGGGGGAGAAUGAAUCAUCUGGCCUUUCAACGCCUAAAAUUAAAGGAACCAGUGAUCUUGUACUGAACAAGGAAGGUUAUAUCAAGGAUGAUGCACUAAAGCAUGUUACCAGGGCACAUGUUGUCAGUUAUGAUGAAAUUGUGGAAUGGAAUGAGACACCACUGCCUGAUACUGAGGCUCCCAAACCAGGGAAGAGAAAACGGCAUUUGACAGAGGAAAGAAAGGCUAAGAAGACGAAAAACAAACGGGUUAAAAGAGCACAGCAGCGGAUAGCGGAUGGUGUGAAAAGACUGAAACUUGCACCAGUUAUAAAGCCGAAACCAGUGAAGUUAUGCCACUUCUACAUGCAUGGGAAGUGCCAGCAGGGCAAUGCUUGCAAGUUCUCACAUGAUACUACACCUUUGACAAAAUCUAAGCCCUGCACACAUUUUGCGCGUGGUUCUUGUUUGAAAGGAGAUGAUUGUCCCUAUGAUCAUGAGUUGUCAAAGUACCCUUGCCACAACUUUGUGGAAAAUGGAAUGUGCUUCAGAGGUGAUAAAUGCAAAUUUUCUCAUGUGGUGCCAACUGCAGAUGGUCCUCCCAAACCAGAUGCAAAGAAAUCUGAUGCGUCAUUGGUAUCUGAAAAACCUGGCAGAGAGCAAACAAGUAGCCAGAAAGCAUCGGCGGACCAUGAUGGCGAACACAUAACUUCUGCUCCUACCAAACAUUACUCCAUUCUUAAAAACCUUGCCGGCAUCUCAGUAAAUGCUCUAAAAGCAUCAACCGGUACACCAAAGGGUGUACAGUUUCGUCCUUCCAGUAAAGACAGAUCAAAUUCUAGCAUGCUGCAUCAGGAUGCUCUACCUAUCGAGAAGCAUAUGUAUACAAAUGGCAGUAAACAUCAGAAUUUUGAUGGACCGCAGGCUGCAGAAGGGGAUAAAAAUGCCAUUCCAAAUAAACAGAGAUCACAUCCACUGUUCGAUGAAAAGAACUCAUUAAAAGAAGCUAGUUCACAUCCAAGUUCAGACCCAAAGAGAACUAGUUUGCCUACUGGCUCUACUACAGUGCUUGGAUCACUCAGCACUCAGCACGAAGUUUCAGAGGCUUCAAGAAUUUUGCAGGAAUUCUUAUUUGGUGCUGGCGGUUAG